GAUGAAGAACGCAGCGAAAUGCGAUAAGUAAUGUGAAUUGCAGAAUUCAGUGAAUCAUCGAAUCUUUGAACGCACAUUGCGCCCGCCAGUAUUCUGGCGGGCAUGCCUGUUCGAGCGUCAUUUCAACCAUCAAGCCCCCGGCUUGUGUUGGGGACCUGCGGCUGCCGCAGGCCCUGAAAACCAGUGGCGGGCUCGCUGUCACACCGAGCGUAGUAGAUUUUCAUCUCGCUCAGGGCGUGCUGCGGGUUCCGGCCGUAAAAAGCCUUAUUUACCCAAGGUUGACCCCGGAUCAGGUAGGAAGACCCGCUGAACUUAAGCAUAUCAAUAAGCGGAGGA
rnacentral:misc_RNA from 1 species